rnacentral:rRNA from 1 species
AUGAACGCUGGCGGCGUGCUUAACACAUGCAAGUCGAACGAUGAAGCCCAGCUUGCUGGGUGGAUUAGUGGCGAACGGGUUAGUAACACGUGAGUAACCUGCCCUUAACUCUGGGAUAAGCCUGGGAAACUGGGUCUAAUACCGGAUAGGAGCGUCCACCGCAUGGUGGGUGUUGGAAAGAUUUAUCGGUUUUGGAUGGACUCGCGGCCUAUCAGCUUGUUGGUGAGGUAAUGGCUCACCAAGGCGACGACGGGUAGCCGGCCUGAGAGGGUGACCGGCCACACUGGGACUGAGGCACGGCCCAGACUCCUACGGGAGGCAGCAGUGGGGAAUAUUGCACAAUGGGCGAAAGCCUGAUGCAGCGACGCCGCGUGAGGGAUGACGGCCUUCGGGUUGUAAACCUCUUUCAGUAGGGAAGAAGCGAAAGUGACGGUACCUGCAGAAGAAGCACCGGCUAACUACGUG